rnacentral:lncRNA from 1 species
UAAAGUACUUGGCAGAAUCCUCAAAUGUAUACAAGUGAUAACAAAACUAAAAAUUUGUAGAACAAAAUUCAGAUAGCUAAAAGUACCAUGUCACCAUCACUCUCUUCUUUUGGUUCCUCCUUUUUCUCCUUCACUACUGAAACAGUGGCAACAACAGCUCCACUACCAGCAGCACUGGCAAUCAAAUGCUCAAUAUUUUUCGUAGUUUGAAUUGUGUUUUCUAUACAAUUUUUAACAUUCUCUUUUAUUAAAUUUAUUUAUUUGUGGUGUCCCAAUACCAAAACGGUUAAAAUAAAACAAUUCAGACUCUGUAUUUUAAAUAUCUCAAAAAAUUGUUUACUUUGACCU